rnacentral:rRNA from 1 species
GUUCACGCCGUAAACGAUGGAUACUAGAUUUGGUGGGUCUUGACCCCUGCCGAGUCGGAGCUAACGCAAUAAGUAUCCCGCCUGGGGAGUACGGUCGCAAGAUUAAAAACUCAAAGGAAUUGACGGGGGCCCGCACAAGCGGUGGAUCAUGUGGUUUAAUUCGAAGCAACGCGAAGAACCUUACCUGGGUUUGACAUCCUCUGACAACUACAGAAAUGUAGCUUUCGUAGCAAUACGACAGAGAGACAGGUGCUGCAUGGCUGUCGU